UGCCGGGUAGUGUAAUGGCAACACGCCUCCCUUUGGAGGAGGAACUCUAGGUCCGAUUCCUAGCCCGGCAA
rnacentral:tRNA from 1 species